rnacentral:rRNA from 1 species
AGUGAACGCUGGCGGUAGGCCUAACACAUGCAAGUCGAACGGCAGCACAGUAAGAGCUUGCUCUUACGGGUGGCGAGUGGCGGACGGGUGAGGAAUACAUCGGAAUCUACUUUUUCGUGGGGAUAACGUAGGGAAACUUACGCUAAUACCGCAUACGACCUACGGGUGAAAGCAGGGGAUCUUCGGACCUUGCGCGAUUGAAUGAGCCGAUGUCGGAUUAGCUAGUUGGCGGGGUAAAGGCCCACCAAGGCGACGAUCCGUAGCUGGUCUGAGAGGAUGAUAAGCAAAAAGGGAAAUGAGACACGGCCCAGACUCCUAGGGGAGGCAGCAGGGGGGAAUAUUGAACAAGGGGCGAAAGCCGGAUCAAGCCAUACGGGGGGGGGAAAAAAGGCAUGCGGGUUAAAAACCCUUUUUGUGGGAAAAAAAAAGUAGAAGGUAAAUACCCCGCUGUUAUGAGGGAACAAAAAAAAAAAACACGGGAAAACUUGGGG